rnacentral:rRNA from 1 species
AAGAAGGCAAUUGCCUCCGUUAUGAUGCUUGUCUUGUGGGAAAUUUGGAAGGAGCGAAAUGGGAGAGUCUUUCGCAACACGGCCACCCCGACCACUGUCAUUGUCCUGAAGAUCAAAGAGGAGGCCCGCCUUUGGUCGUUGGCUGGAGUGAGCCACCCGAGUAAUCUUAUGUCACGAGAGUAG